UACGGAGGGGACUAGCGUUGUACGGAAUUACUGGGCGUAAAGCGCACGUAGGCGGAUUUGUAAGUCAGGGGUGAAAUCCCGGGGCUCAACCUCGGGACUGCCUUUGAUACUGCAAAUCUCGAGUCCGGAAGAGGUGAGUGGAACUCCGAGUGUAGAGGUGAAAUUCGUAGAUAUUCGGAAGAACACCAGUGGCGAAGGCGGCUCACUGGUCCGGUACUGACGCUGAGGUGCGAAAGCGUGGGGAGCAAACAGG
rnacentral:rRNA from 1 species